UUUUUGCCAUGUCCAACCUCGUAGUUCCCCCUGGUUUUAAAUGGAGCAGGAACUAGCACAGCCAUCUUCUGCCAGUUUAAAUAACAUUAAUGACAUUUGUGUGUCUAACAAGUAAAGAUUAUGUCUUGUAUAAAUAUUUACCCCUGUAUAUUGAAGUAAAUUAUGAUUAAAAAAAAUUGAAGAUAUAAUGGCUCAGUGUUGGACAGAACUGAUUAAAUGUCA